UUCCGUUGGGGUAACCUGCGGAGGGAUCAUUACCGAGUUUACAACUCCCAAACCCCUGUGAACAUACCUAUACGUUGCCUCGGCGGAUCAGCCCGCGCCCCGUAAAAAGGGACGGCCCGCCCGAGGACCCCUAAACUCUGUUUUUAGUGGAACUUCUGAGUAAAACAAACAAAUAAAUCAAAACUUUCAACAACGGAUCUCUUGGUUCUGGCAUCGAUGAAGAACGCAGCAAAAUGCGAUAAGUAAUGUGAAUUGCAGAAUUCAGUGAAUCAUCGAAUCUUUGAACGCACAUUGCGCCCGCCAGUAUUCUGGCGGGCAUGCCUGUUCGAGCGUCAUUUCAACCCUCAAGCUCAGCUUGGUGUUGGGACUCGCGGUAACCCGCGUUCCCCAAAUCGAUUGGCGGUCACGUCGAGCUUCCAUAGCGUAGUAAUCAUACACCUCGUUACUGGUAAUCGUCGCGGCCACGCCGUAAAACCCCAACUUCUGAAUGUGACCUCGGAUCAGUAGAUUCCCGGGUCAU
rnacentral:rRNA from 1 species